GACGAACGCUGGCGGCGUGCUUAACACAUGCAAGUCGAACGGAAAGGCCCUGCUUUUGUGGGGUGCUCGAGUGGCGAACGGGUGAGUAACACGUGAGUAACCUGCCCUUGACUUUGGGAUAACUUCAGGAAACUGGGGCUAAUACCGGAUAGGAGCUCCUGCUGCAUGGUGGGGGUUGGAAAGUUUCGGCGGUUGGGGAUGGACUCGCGGCUUAUCAGCUUGUUGGUGGGGUAGUGGCUUACCAAGGCUUUGACGGGUAGCCGGCCUGAGAGGGUGACCGGCCACCUUGGGACUGAGAGACGGACCAGACUCCUACGGGAGGCAGCAGUGGGGAAUAUUGCACAAUGGGCGGAAGCGUGAUGCAGAAACGCCGCGUGCGGGAUGCCGGCCUUCGGGUUGUAAACCGCUUUCGCAUGUGCCGAAGCGUGAGUGACGGUAAUGGGUAAAGAAGCACCGGCUAACUACGUG
rnacentral:rRNA from 1 species